AGAUGUUGAUUAAGAUACAGGUGUGAAACAUCUUGCUUCUUCUUUUCACAUUAUUAUAGAGUAGGUAUUAGGUUAAGACAUGCAGAUGUUUAUCCACAUUCCCACAC